rnacentral:rRNA from 1 species
AGCUUGCUCCUUUGACGUUAGCGGCGGACGGGUGAGUAACACGUGGGUAACCUACCUAUAAGACUGGGAUAACUUCGGGAAACCGGAGCUAAUACCGGAUAACAUUUGGAACCGCAUGGUUCUAAAGUGAAAGAUGGUUUUGCUAUCACUUAUAGAUGGACCCGCGCCGUAUUAGCUAGUUGGUAAGGUAACGGCUUACCAAGGCGACGAUACGUAGCCGACCUGAGAGGGUGAUCGGCCACACUGGAACUGAGACACGGUCCAGACUCCUACGGGAGGCAGCAGUAGGGAAUCUUCCGCAAUGGGCGAAAGCCUGACGGAGCAACGCCGCGUGAGUGAUGAAGGGUUUCGGCUCGUAAAACUCUGUUAUUAGGGAAGAACAAAUGUGUAAGUAACUGUGCACGUCUUGACGGUACCUAAUCAGAAAGCCACGGCUAACUACGUGCCAGCAGCCGCGGUAAUACGUAGGUGGCAAGCGUUAUCCGGAAUUAUUGGGCGUAAAGCGCGCGUAGGCGGUUUCUUAAGUCUGAUGUGAAAGCCCACGGCUCAACCGUGGAGGGUCAUUGGAAACUGGGAAACUUGAGUGCAGAAGAGGAAAGUGGAAUUCCAUGUGUAGCGGUGAAAUGCGCAGAGAUAUGGAGGAACACCAGUGGCGAAGGCGACUUUCUGGUCUGUAACUGACGCUGAUGUGCGAAAGCGUGGGGAUCAAACAGGAUUAGAUACCCUGGUAGUCCACGCCGUAAACGAUGAGUGCUAAGUGUUAGGGGGUUUCCGCCCCUUAGUGCUGCAGCUAACGCAUUAAGCACUCCGCCUGGGGAGUACGACCGCAAGGUUGAAACUCAAAGGAAUUGACGGGGACCCGCACAAGCGGUGGAGCAUGUGGUUUAAUUUGAAGCAACGCGAAGAACCUUACCAAAUCUUGACAUCCUUUGAAAACUCUAGAGAUAGAGCUUUCCCCUUCGGGGGACAAAGUGACAGGUGGUGCAUGGUUGUCGUCAGCUCGUGUCGUGAGAUGUUGGGUUAAGUCCCGCAACGAGCGCAACCCUUAAGCUUAGUUGCCAUCAUUAAGUUGGGCACUCUAGGUUGACUGCCGGUGACAAACCGGAGGAAGGUGGGGAUGACGUCAAAUCAUCAUGCCCCUUAUGAUUUGGGGUACACACGUGCUACAAUGGACAAUACAAAGGGCAGCUAAACCGCGAGGUCAUGCAAAUCCCAUAAAGUUGUUUUCAGUUCGGAUUGUAGUCUGCAACUCGACUACAUGAAGCUGGAAUCGCUAGUAAUCGUAGAUCAGCAUGCUACGGUGAAUACGUUCCCGGGUCUUGUACACACCGCCCGUCACACCACGAGAGUUUGUAACACCCGAAGCCGGUGGAGUAACCAUUUAUGGAGAUAGCCUU